rnacentral:rRNA from 1 species
UACGUAGGUGGCGAGCGUUGUCCGGAUUUACUGGGCGUAAAGGGAGCGUAGGCGGACUUUUAAGUGAGAUGUGAAAUAACCCGGGCUCAACUUGGGUGCUGCAUUUCAAACUGGAAGUCUAGAGUGCAGGAGAGGAGAAUGGAAUUCCUGGUGUAGCAGUGAAAUGCGUAGAUAUCAGGAAGAACACCGGUGGCGAAGGCGGCCUGCUGGACGAUAACUGACGUUGAGGCUCGAAAGCGUGGGGAGGCAAACAGGAUUAGAUAUCCG